rnacentral:lncRNA from 1 species
CGCUAUCCUUAUCCUUAGCCACUCUCUCAAAAUCAUCUCCCAGCUUCCUCACUGCGCCUUUCCUCAGUACCCUCUUCUCUUCUCUGUUCAUCAUAAUCUCAUUCUCUUCAUUUUCACUCUCUACGUCCUCCUCGUCCUCAUCAUUAAGGUCCAAGAAUCCCUUCCUCUUGACGGCCACAGGAGCAGGAGGGGAUAAGGAAGCAUCCCUAUUGUUUUUCUUAGGGACAGGAUCCUUGUUAUUAAGGAACUUGUCGCGCUGGGCCUUCAAUCUCUGGACGUUGCCUUCGAUGCGGCCUUGGAGACGGAGGCGCUUGAAACUGAGACCACCCAUGGACCAGUGCGCUUCAUUGGCCCAGGAGAGCAGCGGAUCAAGGACUGGAACCGGAGGAUCUACGCGUUCGGAGUUGAACCUGGUUUCGCUGUAGAUACGGGGCCGAGGAAGACUGCUGCCGUAGAACUUGCCGGGGCCGAGAGGAACCACCAUAUUAGAAGUAGACUUAAUUUGGAAGAUUU